AAUUGUAUCUUGAGCACUUUCACGGUUAUCUUAAGUUUGGCUGAACCCCAGCUUAUUUUCUACUUUCAAAAAUACUUAAGUAGUUUCAUACAGUGAAAUGUUUUUAUUUUACAGUGAAAAAUUAUGUUUUUUAAAGAAAACUUAAGAAGAAAAAUACUACACACACACAAAUACUAUAUACACUGUAUUAUUGCCAUUUUAUCUAAACAUCUAUCUAUUAAAGUCUACUAAAAAUUUUGAAUCAGUUACAAUGGUUCUGGGAGGUAGAGUAGUAGAUGAUUUUUAAAUUUUCUAUUUUCAUUUAAUUUUAUGGAGCAUGUUGAACAUACUAUGAUCCGAAAUUUUGUUAAUACGCUAAUGUUUACGCAACUCUUCAAUAACCAUAGAUACUAUGGGAAGUUAUCACCACAUAAGACAUACACACAGAUAUACACACACACACUAAGAUAGGGAGAUAAAAUCCCUAAGGAAACAUUAAUAGUAUUGUGAAAGCGAUCAUACAGAGAUCCUGAACUUGGACUUGAACUUCACAGAACAAAGCAAUGAUACACUUGGCUUGGGUGAUAAAAUUAUACAGAUACUGCGACUUUGCUUGGAUCAGUUGAAAAACAGAUUGGCAAAGAAUAAGUUCUCACUUGGAGGGGACUUUGUUCUCCAUAAUUCAUUCAGUCUGAUUUCAUGAGUUGAUUUUAAACUGUCCUAGAUGAUUUUUCUUCACAUGAACAAGGUUCUCUGUCAGUCAGAUGUUGGACACUUAUCUGUGAAGGGCAGAUUUCUCCAGCUGGUCAUAACCAGCCAUCUUCAGGUGGGAAGAACCAUAUGACAGCCACAGGUCUGUUCCUGGGUAGUCUACACAUCUUCGUGCUAAGCAGAGACCUUGUGAAGCCAUAAGAAGAUCCUUCCCUAGCUGGUGCUAAAUCAAGUCUUCAGGUUCUUAUUGAUUAUAAAACAUCCUCUGCAUUCUUUAGGCGCAAAGAUAGGACCAGUCUUCCGACUUCUUCCUUUCAGUACAGCCUUUUAUGAAUUUUUUCCUAUAGACAUUUCCUUUAAAUGGCCGCUUGAUCCAGACAUGUCAAGCACAUCCAGGGAAAAAUCUAGCCCCCACAAACGUCUUUCAUUUGCUAAGUCAAAAUGAGUCCAGCUGUUUAGCACUUUAGUGAGGAAAGACUUCCUAGAUUCAGCUUCCAUGAUUCAGGAGAUUCAGAUGAUGAAACUGUCCUGUGUGGAUGGUUAUAGAUGAAGCUUCAGAACCUGGUUGAGGAGGAGUGAGUUAUGCAGAGAAGAACAUACAGAUUAAACAUCCACUGCUCUUGCCUCAUAGUACUGAUCAUGGUUGAAUUUUAUUGAUUAAUCAUGUGCUUAGGGUCAGGCUCCCUGCUGAACUGAGCUUCAUGAGGGCAAGGACUAAGUAUUCCUUUAAGCUGAGCACACUGUACUAGGCAUAAUGCAGGCAUUAAAGAAAAUAUAUCCCUGAAUGGAUAAUUCUGGCAUGAAUAUGAAUAGUGGUCAGAAUGGGAAUAGUAAGUAAUUUCUUGUAUAAAUAGCUGUCUAGUUAUCUAAAUUAUCAGAAACAUCAUAUAAAAGUCUCUGCACAUGCAAAGUGCCCUGUUAAUGAGGAACCAAAAUAUUAUAUAUUUUCUCUCAAUAUGUAAAUUUUAUAUACUAAUUAAUAAUAAUAAUAGUGAUAAUUUUUUAUCAUUUCUUUGAUCCAGGCUCUACUCUUAGUACUUUGUCUAUAUAAUCUCAUUUGAUCCUCCUAAUGAAUACCUGAGUUAUCAGUUACAGAUAAGGCGAUUGUGACUCACAGUGGCCAUUGUCCCACAGUUCUGGUACCUACCCAGCUCUGUCUGACCCCAAGAGCCUAUAUGCUUAAGCAUAAUGCUGUACUCCCUCUCAAUUUGAGUUGCAUUAAAUAUCAUACAUUAUUAAAUAUUUUACAUGUAUUCAUUUAUUCAGGAAAAUUUUACCAAGUGUCUAGUGUGUACAAGGAGUUGGGGGCUUAAAAACAUUGAAAUAAUGAUACUCAGAGGCUCACAAAUCAUGAUGGCAGACAGUCUACAAUUUUAAAGAAAAAAAAUGGCAAUACUAUGGUAGAUCUAUCAUGCUAGAUAUGUAAGCCAAGAAGGGGUACAGUCAGAAGAGGUUCUCAGAGGUAGUGACUCUUAAAAUAAGCCUAGAAGAGUGAGUAGGAUUUUGACCUGCAUGUGUAAAGAUGGGGAAGACAGUCAAACAGAUCGAGCAUGGCAUUGCUUAGGGGCUACACAUAGUGGUCAUGAUCGUAUCAGAGAGUACAAGUUGCAGAGGCAGAGAGGGCAAACCAAAGAUAAAUGCCUCUAAGUAAGUGCUUUCUAAAGUGUGGCCCCCAGGGCCAGCAGCAUCAGCACUACCUGGGAGCUUCAUAGAACUGUCAUACUUGAUCCAUACCAACACCCACUGAAUUGGAAACUCUAGGAUGGGGUCCCACACACUGUAGUUUAACAAGCCCUCCAGAUGAGUCUGAUUGAGAACCAGUGGUCCAGGUCGCAAGAAAUCAGUAGAGUCAGAGAAGGCUCUACAGGAUUUUUCCUACACUGUUGCCUAGUUAGAGCAAAUUAUAUUGUCAAAGCAGUGAGAUUUUCUUAAAAGGCAGUUGCAGAAGUCUUUUGACUAGACUGUUAGCCUUCAGGAUUUGUCUUGGAAAGUAGCAAUUCAAUGACCAUUUAUAAGGCAUAGCAGAGCAUAUGGUUUCCAAACCCCUCUUUGUGAUUUGCAUGGGACCUAAAAAUGCCCUCUCGUUGUGGGAGAUUAUGGGAAGAAAAUGAAUUUGUAUGAUGCAAAAAAUGGUAGGAUGGUUUUAUUGCUCUUUAUAUGAGAAAUUUGCAGAAAACAGCAAAUAAUACUUUUAGUUUAUAUCCAGCUAUAACAACAGCUUAUUAUUUCUGAACAUUAAAUUACAGUCUAGCAAAAUGAAAUAGGCUACAUGGUCACUUCUUCAUGGAAUCUUCUUCUAGUAGCAGUUUUUAAAUGUGCAUGCUCAGCUAAUUGAAAACAGAAACAUUUUUAUAACUCAGAGAUCUUUGAAGUAGCAUCUAAUGGUUUGCAAUACUGACUGUACAGUGAUUGGGCUAAGAGUGUCUUCAUUUGAGCUGUUGACCCUAAAAAUGAUUCAAUAAGCAGGAAGCCUAGAGCCAUAAACUCUGCUUUGGCAGACUCACCAGAUAUUGAUAAGCAGAUAGCAAGUGAAAGCCAAGUGAACAAAAUUAUUGUGACCGAUUAUGGCCAAUGUCUAUUACCAAAAUAAUAAGUCAAAAGUGGAAAUUUGGGAUUUUCCUGGUGCUCUAGAGCUUAAAGAUUCAGCAUUGUCACAGCAGUGGCUCAGUUUGGAUCCCUGGGCUGGGAACUUUUGCAUCCCAUGGGCAUGGC
rnacentral:lncRNA from 1 species